AUGAUGGAACCUCAGGAGGGAUGUUGGAUCACGGAGCUCCGGAGCUACCUAACACAAGGGACCUUGCCGGAGAAGGAGGAGGAAGCAGAGCGAGUGGCGCGCCAAGCCACGGCAUACUACAUCAAAGAUGGAGAGCUCUACCGGAAGCGACCAAACAAUGUAUCCCUGCGUUGCAUCUCCAGGGAGCAAGGGAAGGAACUACUGGAAGAUAUACACGGCGGAGACUGCGGACAUCAUUCGUCAUCACGGACCCUUGUUGGCAAGGCGUUCCGCAGUGGGUUUUACUGGCCCACCGCGCUCAAUGAUGCCGUUGAACUAGUGAAGGCUUGUGGGGCCCGCUAG
rnacentral:rRNA from 1 species